UAAAGAAAUGAAUUACAUCACUAUUAAUUUCCACGGUAACCCAAACUUCAUAAUAGUCCAUCGUUCUUACCUGUGUUGGGAGCAUGCGCUGACAAACUUUCAGCUUUUAUAAAAU